AGGAGGAGAACGAAGAUGCAUGUAAGAGCAAGAAUUCCAAAAAAGUUGAAAUGGUGAGAUGAGAGAAUUUCCCUGAAGACUCAGAGGACCUCCUCUGGAGGACCCAGAGGACCAUAGACCAGGUCCUGCUCACCAGCAGCUCCAGCUCCCAGAACAUCUCUCUUUUUUAAUGUAAAUGUUUACAGUGAUGAACUUCCCUCUUUGCACUUAUUUUGAUGCAUCCUAUAAAUUUUGACAAAGAAGAGGUCAUAUGAGCACCCAGCAAAGAAGCAGCCAUCUACAACUCAAGAGGAAAGCCCUUGUUGGAAACAGACUGGCACCCUGAGCUCUAAAUUUUGAACUUCAAAAGUGUAAGAAAGUAAUUUCUCUCUUGAAACCACUCACUCUAUAUUUUAUUGUGGCAUCCCCAGCUGAGUAAAACAGUACAUGUAUGUUUAUAAAUUUUUAUAUCUACUUGAUGUAUGUAAACCUACUUGUAUGAAGGUUUAAUGAAUAUCUAUGCCCGACUGCAGAGAUAAUGGAAUAAAAACUGCAGUGAUCAUGUGCAAAAAGAAUACACAAUUUGCAAAAAUAGUUAUCAGAAAUCGCUAAACAAAGGGUGGCUUCAGUCCUCAACAAGUUAAGCUCAGCAAUAUGUUAGGAAGAGAAGAUUUUGAUUUUCAGAAUUACAGCUUUAUAUUACUUAAAAUGUCCAGAUAUCAACAUAAAAGUAUACAGUAUACAAAAAAAGGAAAGUAUGUCCCACUCAUAUGUAUAUAUGAAUUUGACAGAAACUAUCACAGAGGAAACCCAAACAUUGGAAUAACUAGUCAAAAACAUUCAACCAACUGGAAUGACAUCAGAAGGGUGAUGGCAUGAGAAAUCCCCUUGGUCUCUCCCCCUUGAAAUUUUAACACUUUGAGGAAUUAUAAUUCAACAGAGGGUUUUCUGCUCAAUGCACAAACAUCUCUGAGAGAUUUGCACAUUGAAACAUCUGAAGGUGGACAAGUGGGAACAAACAGGGAGGUGAGAGGGUAGAAGAGAUUUGACAAGCCCUGUAGCCCAGAGCUCAGUCUGGGGCUCAGCCUGGAAAGGGGAAGAAUCUGGUUGUGGCUUGAACUUUCUUCAGCCAGGAGGAAAGAGAUUUAGUAAGAAUUCACGCAGGAAUGAGCAGUAGUAGCAGCAGCUCAACCCAGUUACCUGGGCAGGGACAAAGGAUAGAGAUGCUGACUAUUAGCAGUUCAGACAGAGAGACAAAGACAUGGAGCCAGACUGCUCUCUCCCAGUUUUUCAGAGUUCACCUUCCCUCACCAUCCGUAUCAGCUUGCAAAGCAUGUCUACAAACCCAUGAACUGGCACUACAGAAGCACUCUUUCCCUUAGUGAAGGGCAUGCACUUCUACCAGUCCCAGGGUUGGGUGGAGUUGCAGAGGAAAUUCUGUGGAGGUCCACUGGUCACUAUUGCUGGGACAGCAAAUCAACAAAGAGGCAGUUGGAUACCCCCAGCUCACCCUACACCCACACAUUAUGACUACACUACCUGAGGAUUCUGGCUGUGAAGGACAGCACUGGAAUUUCAUGCAUUUGGAUCCUCAUUGCCCACUGUAUUCCCCUGUAGGCUUGGUUCCCUGGGCCCAGGGAAGCAGGAUCACAAGAAAGGCACAUACCUCCCCAUGGAACACAGAGCAUUUUUCACCACCCUACAGAGAGCUGAAAAGCCAGAGAAGCACAUGAGA